UGCCACUCAGAAACAGCUGGUUGGGACUUCCCUGGUGGUCCAGUGGCUAAGAAUACAGCUGCCAGUGCAGGGAACACAGGUUCGAUCCCUGUUCAGGAAGAUCCCACAUCCCAGGGGCAGCUAAACCCGUAUGCCAUGUUCUCCUGAUGCCUGCAUGCUCUAGAGCCCGUGCUCUGCAGCAAGAGAAGCCUCUGCAAUAAGAAGACCCCACUCUCUGCAGCCAGAGAAAGCCCGAGCACAGCAGCAAAGACCCAGCAUGGCCAAAAAUAAAUAAAUAAAAUUUUUUUUAAAAAUAUAAAAGAAACAGCUGGUCAAAGAGAGUGGGGCAUGACCCAUACCAUGAAGAUUCAAGGGAUAACAAGUUGGGAAGCAACCCCUGAAAAACGGGGUCCUGACUUUAGAGGCUACACUGUCUGUGAAUCAGAGACCAACAUAUCCUGUAACAAAACACACAGUCAGGAAUCAUGACUAUAGCCGGCAAUCGCUCACAGAAUUUUUGUUUGCUUUUCCUACAACUUGCAGGGGGAGUGUUUCCAACAGUGGACAGAUCAAUGGUUUCACUGAAUUGGAAGCUGGGACUGCCACAAGGCCUUGCUAGUCUCAUCCCUGAGACCAAGUGCCUAAGGGUGUGAUGCUGGAGUAGUGGCAGCCAUCUUGAGACCAUGAGGGAACAAGCCUGAGACUAUACUGGAUCCUUGAAGACAUGAAGACAUUGGUGAGCUACUGAAUUAAUCAACCUUGGAGAAACCCUAUCACCAGACUCCUUGUUGCUUGUGGUUGACAUUGUUAACUGUCCUCUCAUGACCAUUCUUCCUGUCAUCCUUCUAGUAAUAAAACGUAUUGAGUUUUAGUUGGACAUCUGGGAGCCCCAGUUGCAAACUACCCUUUCUAGCAUCCUUGGCAGUUGGGUGUGGUCAUGUGACUAAGUCCAGGCCGAUGGGACAUACACAGAAGUGAUUCCUACAAUUUCUGUAUUAUUUCCUUAAGGAUGUUUGCCUUCACACUACUAUAUAUAAAAUAGACAACUGAUAAGGACCUAUUGUACUCUACUCAAUAAUCUGUAAUGACCUACAUGGGAAAAGAAUCUAAAAAAGAGUGGAUAUAUGUAUAUGUGGGUUUCCCUCGUGGUUCAGACAGUAAAGAAUCACUUUCACUUUUCAUGCUUAUGUAUACAACUCGUUCACUUUGCUGUGCA
rnacentral:lncRNA from 1 species